CAGCACCUCAAGUGGUCAGGAUGAUUAUUGGGCCUAAAGCAUCCGUAGCCGGCUCUGUAAGUUUUCGGUUAAAUCUGUACGCUCAACGUACAGGCUGCCGGGAAUACUGCAGAGCUAGGGAGUGGGAGAGGUAGACGGUACUCGGUAGGAAGGGGUAAAAUCCUUUGAUCUAUUGAUGACCACCUGCGGCGAAGGCGGUCUACCAGAACACGUCCGACGGUGAGGGAUGAAAGCUGGGGGAGCAAACCGGAUUAGAUACCCGUGUAGUCC
rnacentral:rRNA from 1 species